UACGGGGGGGGCAAGCGUUGUUCGGAAUUACUGGGCGUAAAGGGCUCGUAGGCGGCCAACUAAGUCAGACGUGAAAUCCCUCGGCUUAACCGGGGAACUGCGUCUGAUACUGGAUGGCUGGAGUUCGGUAGGGGAGACUGGAAUUCCUGGUGUAGCGGUGAAAUGCGCAGAUAUCAGGAGGAACACCGGUGGCGAAGGCGGGUCUCUGGGCCGAUACUGACGCUGAGGAGCGAAAGCGUGGGGAGCGAACAGG
rnacentral:rRNA from 1 species